GAUGAACGCUGGCGGCGUGCCUAAUACAUGCAAGUCGAGCGAACAGACGAGGAGCUUGCUCCUUUGACGUUAGCGGCGGACGGGUGAGUAACACGUAGGUAACCUACCUAUAAGACUGGGAUAACUUCGGGAAACCGGAGCUAAUACCGGAUAAUAUUUCGAACCGCAUGGUUCGAUAGUGAAAGAUGGCUUUGCUAUCACUUAUAGAUGGACCUGCGCCGUAUUAGCUAGUUGGUAAGGUAACGGCUUACCAAGGCAACGAUACGUAGCCGACCUGAGAGGGUGAUCGGCCACACUGGAACUGAGACACGGUCAAGACUCCUACGGGAGGCAGCAGUAGGGAAUCUUCCGCAAUGGGCGAAAGCCUGACGGAGCAACGCCGCGUGAGUGAUGAAGGUCUUCGGAUCGUAAAACUCUGUUAUUAGGGAAGAACAAACGUGUAAGUAACUGUGCACGUCUUGACGGUACCUAAUCAGAAAGCCACGGCUAACUACGUG
rnacentral:rRNA from 1 species